UACAGAGGGGGCAAGCGUUAUCCGGAAUUACUGGGCGUAAAGAGCGCGCAGGCGGUCGUACAAGUCGCGUGUGAAAGCCCCCGGCUCAACUGGGGAGGGUCACGCGAUACUGUUCGACUCGAAGGCAGGAGAGGGAAGUGGAAUUCCCGGUGUAGUGGUGAAAUGCGUAGAUAUCGGGAAGAACACCCGUGGCGAAGGCGGCUCUCUGGGACGGUACUGACGCUGAGACGCGAAAGCGUGGGGAGCGAACAGG
rnacentral:rRNA from 1 species